AACACAUGCAAGUCGAACGCAGUAGCAAUACUGAGUGGCAGACGGGUGAGUAACAUGUGGGAAUCUGCCUUGUGGUUCAGGACAACAUUGGGUAACCGAUGCUAAUACUGGAUAAGCCCUUACGGGGAAAGUUUUAAUGCCAUAAGAUGAGCCCGCAUUUGAUUAGUUAGUUGGUGAGGUAAUGGCUCACCAAGACAAUGAUCAAUAGCUGAUCUGAGAGGAUGAUCAGCCACACUGGGACUGAGACACGGCCCAGACUCCUACGGGAGGCAGCAGUGGGGAAUAUUGGGCAAUGGAGGAAACUCUGACCCAGCGACGCCGCGUGAGGGAUGAAGGCCUUCGGGUUGUAAACCUCUUUCAGUAGGGAAGAAGCGAAAGUGACGGUACCUACAGAAGAAGCACCGGCUAACUAUGUGCCAGCAGCCGCGGUAAUACAUAGGGUGCAAGCGUUGUCCGGAAUUAUUGGGCGUAAAGAGCUCGUAGGUGGUUCGAUACGCCGGAUGUGAAAAUCAGGGGCUCAACCCCUGACCUGCAUCCGAUACGGUCGAGCUAGAGUUUGGUAGGGGAGACUGGAAUUCCUGGUGUAGCGGUGGAAUGCGCAGAUAUCAGGAGGAACACCGAUGGCGAAGGCAGGUCUCUGGGCCAAUACUGACACUGAGGAGCGAAAGCGUGGGGAGCGAACAGGAUUAGAUACCCUGGUAGUCCACGCCCUAAACGAUGUCAACUGGUUGUUGGGUCUUCACUGACUCAGUAACGAAGCUAACGCGUGAAGUUGACCGCCUGGGGAGUACGGCCGCAAGGUUGAAACUCAAAUGAAUUGACGG
rnacentral:rRNA from 1 species